rnacentral:rRNA from 1 species
GACGAACGCUGGCGGCGUGCCUAACACAUGCAAGUCGAGCGGUCUUAUAGCGAGAAGUGACUUGUCACUUCAUGCUAUAAGAUAGCGGCGGACGGGUGAGUAACACGUGGGUAACCUGCCUUAUACAAAGGGAUAACACUGGGAAACCGGUGCUAAUACCGUAUAACAUAUAUCAUGGGCAUCUGAGAUAUAUCAAAGGCAUAUCGUAAAGGUAAGCCGGUAUAAGAUGGGCCCGCGUCCGAUUAGCUAGUUGGUGGGGUAAAAGCUUACCAAGGCAACGAUCGGUAGCCGGACUGAGAGGUUGACCGGCCACAUUGGGACUGAGACACGGCCCAGACUCCUACGGGAGGCAGCAGUGGGGAAUAUUGCGCAAUGGGGGGAACCCUGACGCAGCGACGCCGCGUGAAGGAAGAAGGUCUUCGGAUUGUAAACUUCUUUGACUGGGGACGAAGAAAGUGACGGUACCCAGAUAACAAGCCACGGCUAACUACGUGCCAGCAGCCGCGGUAAUACGUAGGUGGCAAGCGUUGUCCGGAAUUACUGGGUGUAAAGGGCGUGUAGGCGGGGAUGCAAGUCAGGUGUGAAAAACCAUGGCUCAACUGUGGUCUUGCAUCUGAAACUGUAUUUCUUGAGUACUGGAGAGGGAAGUGGAAUUCCUAGUGUAGCGGUGAAAUGCGUAGAGAUUAGGAGGAACACCAGUGGCGAAGGCGGCUUCCUGGCCAGAGACUGACGCUGAGGCGCGAAAGCGUGGGGAGCAAACAGGAUUAGAUACCCUGGUAGUCCACGCCGUAAACGAUGGAUACUAGGUGUAGGUGGUAACAAGCCAUCUGUGCCGGAGCAAACGCAAUAAGUAUCCCACCUGGGGAGUACGGCCGCAAGGCUGAAACUCAAAGGAAUUGACGGGGGCCCGCACAAGCAGUGGAGUAUGUGGUUUAAUUCGAAGCAACGCGAAGAACCUUACCAGGGCUUGACAUCCCUCGAAUUACGUAGAAAUACGUAAGUCCUACGGGACGAGGAGACAGGUGGUGCAUGGUUGUCGUCAGCUCGUGUCGUGAGAUGUUGGGUUAAGUCCCGCAACGAGCGCAACCCCUGUUGUUAGUUGCCAUCAAGUAAAGUUGGGCACUCUAACGAGACUGCCGGUGAGAAAUCGGAGGAAGGUGGGGACGACGUCAAAUCAUCAUGCCCCUUAUGUCCUGGGCAACACACGUACUACAAUGGCUACAACAGAGGGAAGCGAAGCUGUGAAGCGGAGCGAAUCCCAGAAAAGUAGUCCCAGUUCGGAUUGUGGGCUGCAACUCGCCCACAUGAAGCAGGAAUUGCUAGUAAUGGCAGGUCAGCACACUGCGGUGAAUACGUUCCCGGGCCUUGUACACACCGCCCGUCACACCACGAAAGUUUGCAACACCCGAAGCCGGUGGCCUAACCUUUUGGAAGGAGCCGUCGAAGGUGGGGCAGAUGAUUGGGGUG